GAGGGUAUAGCUCAGUGGUAGAGCAGUGCUCAGCAUGCAUGAGGUCCUGAGUUCAAGCCCCAGUACCUCCA
rnacentral:tRNA from 1 species